rnacentral:sRNA from 1 species
CAAGUGAGGUUAGUGACACCUGGGUGGCAGCAGGUGGCGAAGUUGGUAAAAUGAAA